GGAAGGAUGUUUUUCCCACUUAAAACGGGCUUAAAGUAUAAAGAAAAUCCGAGCUAAAAGAGCCAAGAGCUAAAAUUGAUCGCUUCAGUUCAGCCUUUUCCUGUGGAGAUCUAACCCGUGAAGUAAAAUGCAUGUACAGCUGUGACCGAACCAAAGCAGCAAGUAACGGAUGGAUGAGAAUCACCUCUACCAGUUCCGGUGUACAUCUUACUUUUUAUUACGCUAGAGCCAUGAUGAUUUGAAAAGAAUGAGUAGUUCUUCAAUUUUCGCUUUCCUCGUCGGGUUUUAUCUUGCUGUUACAAGGCUAAAGGUUAAUCCUUUUUGAUCGCUGGAUCUUUUCGUUCCAGUCAUUGUUUUAAUAUUUUUACCAUGUAUGUACAACUGAAUUUUAAGAUCAUAUUCUUAGAUUCUCGAGUUGCAAAAGUGGUAGGUUCUUUGGAACAUAUACUUGAGAUCAGAAUCCUUGAAGGAAAUGUAAAGACUUCAAUUUGACUUUAACAGAACUCGAUUCUUUGUUCGCUGAAAAAAAGAGAAGCACUAGGAAGAAAAUUUCACUUAGAUUAAGAAAUACACGUUGACAUUUUUGCUGAACUGCUGAUAAUGACGAAAUUUUCCUUAAGCUACACUGUUUAAAAACUGCCCGCGUCUCCAUUAGAAUAGAUAUGUUUGGAGACAAAUUAAAACACAUAGAAAAUGAACAAGUGUAUCUUGUUAAAGUAGCACGUAGGACCUGGCGAUUUUUGUUGACACUAACUUUAAGAACUUUUAACUUGUCUGCAGUGGCCAGGGUCAAUGUUUCUGUCAAAAGCGUUUCUUCGUACUGCUGUAAUUUUGGUGUUUAACAAGAUAUUGGAUUGUAAUUGGAAGCUUUGCUACAUCUCCCUGGAAAAAUAUCAUUUGCGGUGUUUGAAGGUAAUUACAUACAUCGAAGAGGAA